UGCACACAAACUACCGAAUGUACCGGAUAUGGUGGCAGUUGCAGUAAGAUCUCAGCUGGAUGUUCGGGCACUUCCUAUGACGCAGGAUGCGCAGCUUCAACUUGCACUUGCUGCAUUGCUGAUACUUCUACUUGUGUCACACUACCUACCUGCAGAGAUGCUAGAGGGUUGUGCAUUGCUCCUUCUCAAUCAGGCACUGCACAGGUGUUCUCGACCCCAAUGGCUGCCUUGGAGACAGCUGUUCCUGUUGCAAGGGAGGUUGUGAGAAGACGAACAAGUGCACCGCUGUUGGAGGCUACUGCUUCCGAAAAGAUGGUCCCCACGUGUGUCACGGG